UUGAACGCUGGCGGCAUGCCUUACACAUGCAAGUCGAACGGUAACAGGUCUUCGGAUGCUGACGAGUGGCGAACGGGUGAGUAAUACAUCGGAACGUGCCCGAUCGUGGGGGAUAACGGAGCGAAAGCUUUGCUAAUACUGCAUACGAUCUCCGGAUGAAAGCAGGGGACCGCAAGGCCUUGCGCGGACGGAGCGGCCGAUGGCAGAUUAGGUAGUUGGUGGGAUAAAAGCUUACCAAGCCGACGAUCUGUAGCUGGUCUGAGAGGACGACCAGCCACACUGGGACUGAGACACGGCCCAGACUCCUACGGGAGGCAGCAGUGGGGAAUUUUGGACAAUGGGCGCAAGCCUGAUCCAGCCAUGCCGCGUGCAGGAUGAAGGCCUUCGGGUUGUAAAGCUCUUUCAGCCGGAACGAAACGGUACGCUCUAACAUAGCGUGCUAAUGACGGUACCGGCAGAAGAAGCACCGGCUAACUACGU
rnacentral:rRNA from 1 species